rnacentral:rRNA from 1 species
UACAGAGGUCCCAAGCGUUGUUCGGAUUCACUGGGCGUAAAGGGCGCGUAGGCGGCUUGGCAAGUGGAUGGUGAAAUCCCUCGGCUUAACCGAGGAACUGCCGUCCAAACUGCUUCGCUUGAGACCGGGAGAGGUGAGUGGAAUUCCCAGUGUAGCGGUGAAAUGCGUAGAUAUUGGGAGGAACACCAGUGGCGAAGGCGGCUCACUGGACCGGUACUGACGCUGAUGCGCGAAAGCGUGGGGAGCAAACGGG